rnacentral:rRNA from 1 species
CCUACGGGAGGCAGCAGUGGGGAAUAUUGCACAAUGGGGGAAACCCUGAUGCAGCGACGCAGCGUGAGUGAAGAAGUCUUUCGGUAUGUAAAGCUCUAUCAGCAGGGAAGAUAAUGACGGUACCUGACUAAGAAGCCCCGUCUAACUACGUGCCAGAAGCGGCGGUAAUACGUAGGGGGCAAGCGUUAUCCGGAUUUACUGGGUGUAAAGGGGGCGUAGAUGGCAGGGCAAGUCAGAUGUGAAAGCCCGGGGCUCAACCCCGGUACUGCAUUUGAAACUGUCCAGCUGGAGUACAGGAGAGGUAAGCGGAAUUCCUAGUGUAGCGGUGAAAUGCGUAGAUAUUAGGAGGAACACCAGUGGCGAAGGCGGCUUACUGGACUGUAACUGACACUGAGGCACGAAAGCGUGGGGAGCAAACAGGAUUAGAUACCCCGGUAGUC